GAUGAAGGCCUCUGCAAGGGACAUCCAGCGCCCUCCUUCCCCAGCGAUCUCCUCAACAGGACAGUGCGCCGCAGCAUUGCCUGGGCGUCGUCUCCUCUGACCAGCUCGCCGUACAAUCCUUGGAGCCGCCAAUUAUAGUUCGUCAGUGAGCUGCAGAGAUCAGCGACACGUUCAAGGGUUCUGGAGCCGGUGUACCACAAGCAGUCAAGACAACGGAGAUGGCAACAUGCUGAUCAAUCGGCAAUCGUCCAAUCUGCAAUUCAACAACACUUUGGAGCCCAGCAUCCAGGUGGACCUCGUGUUCCGUUGAUUGGUAUAGCUCUACCAGGAUUUGUGCCUCAGCAACAACUUGUCCCCAACAAUUCUGAUAUGGCUUGGCAUUAAGGGAAGAGGAAUUGGAGCUGUACGAGGACAUGCCGUGGUGGUGCUAUCUCGGAAUCGGCGACAAUUAUCUCAGGUGAUUCCUCAGGUUCCCCUUCGUUCGAGCUGUGGCUUCCUAUUUCGGCAAAUGAGUCCAUGCCCUGUUUCUGGCAACAUGGCUUAGUCGUCCAUUUGUUUAGGAACAAGAGGUUUUUUUUCUGGUACUGGAAUGUUCUUUGGUGAUUUAGGUUAGACACCUGGUCUCCAUGAGUUACAUGUUUUCUUCUUUGCAUUUUCUAUAAUUUUCCUUCGCUUUUUAAAUCAUACAUCCUACAUGAUGUUUAGUUCAGGAUUAUGCUUCUGUUCAUUGCAUUCGUGGCUCAUUAUUGGCUAUUGGAGAACUGUUGAGGAAACUUAAAGUUCAGUUUGCUGUGAUAUUCCGUACAAGUUUUUUCACAAUAUGCAUAUACUGAUGCAAGCACGUUUUUUGUUCUCUUGGUGACACUGGAGUACUACCCUCUACUUGGAGCUUGCCUACCUCUUCUACAACUACCGCAGGAUAACAUCAACUCAGCUCAGCCGAAGUCCCUCGCCGACUGGCUACGGAGGCCUCUGACUACAUUGGUCCCAGGCUUAUUAGGGUAGGUUGACAUGGCUCGGCCUCCCGAGUAGCUCCACCCGAUUCACUGAAGUCCCUCCCGGGCCGACUACGUGUGCCUCUAGCUGCUUUGGUCCUCGGUGGUGCUUAUGCUGCUGUUGUGCAAGGGUCUAUGUAAUGUUGUUUCGGUUGCAAUAUUCAAUAGUCUACAUCAUUUAUAGGUGGAGCCGAAUACACUGAAGAAUGUGGAGCACCCCACAGGAAGCUUGAAAGGCUGCUGUAGACGGAAGAAAUAAUUUUGAGCCUGACUGGCUUUGUCAGUGUGUCGACGGAAAGGCCUAGAAGGUGCAAUUUUCAAGCCGCUCAUCAUGAGAUGCCUCCAGGGGCUUCCCAUGAGGCAUGCGUGGUGGAAUGCAUGGCUUCGCUGGAGGACUGGGAAGUGGUAUGCCUCGCAGAAUGGGCGGUGGUAUCCCUGGAGUUGGAGUUGUAACCUAGUGAAGAAACCUGAUGGCAAAGAUUUGGUGACCAUGUGGUCAUGGCGGACAACACUCGCAUUGGGAUCACCUCAAGAUCAGAGCUGCGCCACCUUUGCGGCAUUCUCUUGCACAAUGGAGGGGCUAAACAAGCAAUAGACAGUGAUGACACCUAGCAGGAGUGUGUUGGCCUUUGAGGCAGUUGUGAGAUGUCGAGGAGGAGUAGCAUUGCUGUCCAAAAAUUUGAGACAAGGUUGAGGUCUGCAAAGGACUAAGGCGCCGCUGAUGUUGAGGUCUCCGAGCCCCCAAGAACCAAGACGAGCCAGGAGAUAAGGUGGAGCCGAAUGCACUGAAGAAUGUGGAGCACCGCAGGAAGCUUGACAGGCUGCUGUAGACGGAAGAAAUAAGUUUGAGUGUGACUAGCUUUGUUGGUGUGCCGACGGAAAAGCGAUUUUGUAAUUUAAUUAUGAGAAGGCCUAGAAGGUGCAAUUUUCAAGCCGCUCAUCAGGAGAUGCCUCCAGGGGCUUCCCAUGAGGCAUGCGUGGUGGAAGGCAUGGCUUUGCUGGAGGACUGGGAGAUGGUAUGCCUCGCAGAAUGGGCGGUGAUAUGCCUGGAGCUGGAGUUGCUCCCGGUACUAUCGGUAUGGAUGUCAUCCUAUAUUGGUUAAGUGGCGUUGGAUCUGACCCGGAGGUCACAAUAGCCUCCGGAUUUGGCUGUCUGGCUCUGGUGGUGGUGGUGGUGCUGGGCUGCUUCCCUCGCCUCACACAAAGGUGGUAGGCCUGGCCGCCCCAUGACUUCGACUACCUCGACUAUCUCUUGGGCUCAUGCUGGUGCAUAAUGGCCGCAACCGUGGCAAUGGUGGGCCUUGUUACAUGGCUCGGUGUUAUAGGUGAGUCCUCAAGUUCCCAUUUUUCUCAUCUAUGUGCUCUGUGAUGACGCUGGGAAGUUUCAUUACAGCUGUCACUACACUUUGUUCUGGCCGUUGGGCAGAUGACCUACUGGUUAGGUUUAGUGGUACUAGUUACAAAGAUUUGGUUAUGGUACCAAAAGUGACAUUUUAGCACUUUUUUGUGAUGGUAAUAAUUAGGGUAUGCUUGCUCUCGAGUGUGUUCUCGCUUGUAUCCUGAAUUCCUAAUUGUAGUGCACAUACUAUAUUUGUGGUCAUCCAAAAAAAUUUGUUGGUUCUAUUUA